ACAAUAACUUUCAUGUUCACAUCAGACAUUCACUCCUUCACGUAUCAAACGCACUGCCGUCUCCGCCGUUAAUCCCGACCACCCCCACCACCACCACUGUCAUAAACCACCGUUCAACAACACCGGUAAGUCACAAACCUUCUGAUCUCCUAUUCAUUCAUAUCCUCUUCAUAGUUAUUAUUGACCCCCAUAUUUAAAAACUAGGGUUUCAUCAUCCCCAAUUAUUAUCCACUCAAUUCACGCAUUCAACAAUCAUGCAAGCACCAGUAGCACCUAAAAACCGCUUAGAAUUCCUCAACACACGCCCUCCACCCAAUUAUGUAGCCGGAUUAGGUCGUGGAGCCACCGGUUUCACCACCCGGUCCGAUAUCGGUCCGGCGCGUGCAGCACCGGACCUCCCGGACCGUUCUGUGGGAGCCGGGGCACCCGCGGGACCCUCCGGUGUCGGCCGGGGCCGAGGCAAUGAUGAGGAAGAGGAAGAAGAAGCUGAGGAUAAAGGAUAUGAUGAGAAUCAAAAGUUUGAUGAGUUUGAAGGGAAUGAUGUUGGAUUGUUCGCUUCGGCGGAAUACGAUGAGGAAGAUAAAGAGGCUGAUGCUGUGUGGGACGAGAUUGAUAAGCGGAUGGAUUCGAGGCGGAAGGAUAGGCGCGAGGCGCGGUUGAAGGAGGAGAUUGAGAAAUACAGGGCGUCGAAUCCGAAGAUUACGGAACAGUUUGCUGAUUUGAAGCGGAAGUUGGUUACAUUGUCGGCUGCGGAGUGGGAUAGUAUACCGGAGAUUGGGGAUUAUUCGUUGCGAAACAAGAAGAAGCGGUUCGAGAGUUUUGUGCCUGUGCCGGAUACGUUACUGGAGAAGGCGAGGCAGGAGAAGGAACAUGUUACCGCGUUGGAUCCGAAGAGUAGGGCGGUUGGUGGGACGGAGACGCCGUGGGCGCAAACACCGGAUUUGACUGCGGUUGGGGAAGGUAGAGGGACGGUUUUGUCGUUGAAGUUGGAUAGGCUGUCCGAUUCGGUUUCGGGUCUGACUGUUGUUGACCCAAAAGGGUACUUGACUGAUUUGAAGAGUAUGAAAAUUACUAGUGAUGCGGAGAUUUCGGAUAUUAAAAAGGCGAGACUGUUGUUGAAGUCGGUGAUUCAAACGAAUCCGAAGCAUCCGCCUGGGUGGAUUGCGGCUGCGAGGCUGGAGGAAGUUGCGGGGAAGAUUCCGACAGCGAGGGAGUUGAUAAAAAGAGGGUGUGAGGAAUGUCCGAAGAACGAGGAUGUGUGGAUUGAGGCGUGUCGGUUAGCGAAUCCAGAUGAGGCAAAGGCUGUGAUUGCUAGGGGUGUUAAAGCGAUUCCUAAUUCGGUUAAACUUUGGAUGCAUGCUGCGAAACUGGAACACGAUGAUGCUAAUAAAAGCCGGGUGUUGAGGAAGGGUCUUGAAAAUAUUCCAGAUUCUGUAAGGCUGUGGAAAGCGGUUGUGGAACUUGCUAACGAAGAUGACGCGAAGCUUUUGCUUCAGAGAGCGGUGGAGUGUUGUCCGUUGCAUGUGGAAUUGUGGCUUGCGUUAGCUAGGUUGGAGAAGUACGAUGCAGCGAAAAAGGUACUGAAUAAGGCGAGAGAGAAGCUUCCGAAAGAACCCGCGAUUUGGAUCACUGCAGCAAAGUUGGAAGAGGCUUUUGGAAACACGUCGAUGGUUGGGAAGAUUAUAGAAAGGGGUAUUCGGGCUUUACAGAGAGAAGGAGUCGAGAUUGAUCGGGAGGCGUGGAUGAAGGAGGCCGAAGCUGCUGAACGGGCUGGUUCAGUGGCAACGUGUAAUGCGAUUAUUAGUAAUACUAUCGGGAUUGGGGUUGAAGACGAGGAUCGUAAGGCGACUUGGGUUGCUGACGCGGAAGAAUGUAAGAAACGGGGCUCGAUUGAAACCGCUAGAGCGAUUUACAGCUGUGCGAUUGCUGCGUUUAAAUCGAAGAAGAGCGUAUGGCUUAAAGCAGCUCAACUCGAGAAGGCUCACGGCACUCGUGAGUCGCUUGAUGCUUUACUUCGUAAAGCGGUUACUUACACGCCUCAAGCUGAGGUCUUAUGGUUAAUGGGUGCGAAAGAGAAGUGGCUCGCUGGCGAUGUGCCGGCAGCACGACACAUUCUUCAGGAAGCUUAUGCUGCGAUUCCGAAGUCUGAAGAAAUUUGGCUUGCUGCGUUUAAACUUGAGUUUGAGAACAACGAGCCGGAACGAGCCCGAAUGCUUCUUGCUAAAGCACGGGAACGGGGAGGAACCGAGAGAGUAUGGAUGAAGUCUGCUAUUGUUGAGAGAGAACUCGGGAACAGUUCGGAAGAACGGAGGCUCCUUGAUGAAGGGUUGAAGUUAUUUCCGUCGUUUUUCAAGCUAUGGUUAAUGCUCGGUCAGCUCGAGGAACGACUCGGUAAUUUACCGCAAGCGAAAGAAGCGUACGAGUUGGGUUUAAAGCAGUGUCCGAAUUCAACUCCUCUUUGGCUCUCUCUUGCUAAUCUCGAGGAGAGAAUGAGCGGGCUGAGUAAAGUUCGGGCCGUGCUCACAAUGGCUAGAAAAAGGAACCCGCAUUUCCCUGAAUUAUGGCUGGCUGCGAUCAGAGCCGAGUCACGACACGGUUCGAAAAAAGAAGCCGAUAUCUUAAUGGCGAAGGCGUUACAGGAAUGCCCGAAUAGUGGUAUAUUAUGGGCUGCUGCAAUCGAAAUGGCUCCACGACCGCAAAGGAAAACCAAGAGUUCUGAUGCUUACAAGAAAUGUGAACACGAUCCACAUGUAAUAGCUGCGAUUGGGAAGCUAUUUUGGCAUGACAGGAAGGUGGAUAAAGCGCGCACUUGGCUUAACCGAGCGGUUACUCUUGCACCCGAUGUUGGCGACUUUUGGGCUUUGCUUUAUAAGUUUGAACUGCAGCAUGGAACCGAGGACCAGCAGAAGGAAGUCAUGAGGAAGUGUAUUGCUGCGGAACCAAAACAUGGUGAAAAGUGGCAGCCGAUAUCGAAGGCGGUUGAGAAUUCCCAUCAGCCGGUUGAAGCGAUUUUGAAGAAGCUAGUUGUUGCCCUUGGAAAGGAAGAGAAAGCUGCUGAGGAUAACAAACACCAGUAAUGUUUUUGACUUUUUUCAGUUGGUUAUGUCUGCUUGACUUUACAGUUUUGCUCUGGUGGGAAUGGAGAUGAUGAUGAUGAUUAACUAAUUAUGUUGCUGCUGCUGUUCUAUUAUUUUAGGCAAUUCAGCCUAUAUGUAUUUGAUACAUGCAACGGUUGCAGCCAUGGCGGAUUUCGACAACAAUUUACGAUUAUAACAAAUCUGAGGCGUUUGUUAUAUUGUGUUUUGAAUUUUUAUAACAAAUCUGAGGCGUUUGUUAUAUUGCCAUUUAAUCUUCUAAUCUACUCUGAGCUCAUGAUUUCGCCCGUCUCCGUUUGCCUUGUUGACUCACUAUAAAGUAUCUUAUCAGGGUUAAUGUGAUUUAAAAUAGGAGAUGCUUGCGCUCCCUAGUCGGUCGACCGGGUAGUUGAGAGUACUCGGCCUAGGCGAAGAGUACUCGGACAUGUUAAAUUAUAAAGAAAAUCGACAACUGGAAGCGUGAGCACAUACUUGAAUUCUUGAGGGAGAAGCUGAAGCCGACAUCAGCGAUUUGAUUGGUCGGUUGAGUUUGUUCUUGAAUCUUGACGUUAUCUAGUUACGCUCAUCUUGUAGAACAAUUAUUUCUACCUCUUUAUCAUCUGCUUCAGUUAUGUACUAGACUACUAGUUUAUAUACAUGAGUAGUCAUGAGUGAAUGAUAUGAUGCAUUGGAUAAAUCAUUGUUCUUUAUCCAUGAGGAUGGUUACAAUUGUGAAGUAAAUGACUGUAAUUCAUGUCG